rnacentral:rRNA from 1 species
CUGCUGCCUCCCGUAGGAGUUUGGGCCGUGUCUCAGUCCCAAUGUGGCCGGCCACCCUCUCAGGUCGGCUACUGAUCGUCGCCUUGGUGGGCCGUUACCCCGCCAACCAGCUAAUCAGACGCGGGUCCAUCUCAUACCACCUCGGUUUUUCACACUGGACCAUGCAGUCCCGUGCGCUUAUGCGGUAUUAGCAGUCAUUUCUAACUGUUAUCCCCCUGUAUGAGGCAGGUUACCCACGCGUUACUCACCCGUCCGCCG